rnacentral:rRNA from 1 species
AGUGAACGCUGGCGGUAGGCCUAACACAUGCAAGUCGAACGGCAGCACAGUAAGAGCUUGCUCUUACGGGUGGCGAGUGGCGGACGGGUGAGGAAUACAUCGGAAUCUACUUUUUCGUGGGGGAUAACGUAGGGAAACUUACGCUAAUACCGCAUACGACCUACGGGUGAAAGCAGGGGAUCUUCGGACCUUGCGCGAUUGAAUGAGCCGAUGUCGGAUUAGCUAGUUGGCGGGGUAAAGGCCCACCAAGGCGACGAUCCGUAGCUGGUCUGAGAGGAUGAUCAGCCACACUGGAACUGAGACACGGUCCAGACUCCUACGGGAGGCAGCAGUGGGGAAUAUUGGACAAUGGGCGCAAGCCUGAUCCAGCCAUACCGCGUGGGUGAAGAAGGCCUUCGGGUUGUAAAGCCCUUUUGUUGGGAAAGAAAAGCAGCAGGAUAAUACCCCGCUGUUCUGACGGUACCCAAGGAAUAAGCACCGGCUAACUUCGUG